rnacentral:rRNA from 1 species
GUGACUGCGUACCUUUUGUAUAAUGGGUCAGCGACUUAUAUUCUGUAGCAAGGUUAACCGAAUAGGGGAGCCGAAGGGAAACCGAGUCUUAACUGGGCGUUAAGUUGCAGGGUAUAGACCCGAAACCCGGUGAUCUAGCCAUGGGCAGGUUGAAGGUUGGGUAACACUAACUGGAGGACCGAACCGACUAAUGUUGAAAAAUUAGCGGAUGACUUGUGGCUGGGGGUGAAAGGCCAAUCAAACCGGGAGAUAGCUGGUUCUCCCCGAAAGCUAUUUAGGUAGCGCCUCGUGAAUUCAUCUCCGGGGGUAGAGCACUGUUUCGGCAAGGGGGUCAUCCCGACUUACCAACCCGAUGCAAACUGCGAAUACCGGAGAAUGUUAUCACGGGAGACACACGGCGGGUGCUAACGUCCGUCGUGAAGAGGGAAACAACCCAGACCGCCAGCUAAGGUCCCAAAGUCAUGGUUAAGUGGGAAACGAUGUGGGAAGGCCCAGACAGCCAGGAUGUUGGCUUAGAAGCAGCCAUCAUUUAAAGAAAGCGUAAUAGCUCACUGGUCGAGUCGGCCUGCGCGGAAGAUGUAACGGGGCUAAACCAUGCACCGAAGCUGCGGCAGCGACGCUUAUGCGUUGUUGGGUAGGGGAGCGUUCUGUAAGCCUGCGAAGGUGUGCUGUGAGGCAUGCUGGAGGUAUCAGAAGUGCGAAUGCUGACAUAAGUAACGAUAAAGCGGGUGAAAAGCCCGCUCGCCGGAAGACCAAGGGUUCCUGUCCAACGUUAAUCGGGGCAGGGUGAGUCGACCCCUAAGGCGAGGCCGAAAGGCGUAGUCGAUGGGAAACAGGUUAAUAUUCCUGUACUUGGUGUUACUGCGAAGGGGGGACGGAGAAGGCUAUGUUGGCCGGGCGACGGUUGUCCCGGUUUAAGCGUGUAGGCUGGUUUUCCAGGCAAAUCCGGAAAAUCAAGGCUGAGGCGUGAUGACGAGGCACUACGGUGCUGAAGCAACAAAUGCCCUGCUUCCAGGAAAAGCCUCUAAGCAUCAGGUAACAUCAAAUCGUACCCCAAACCGACACAGGUGGUCAGGUAGAGAAUACCAAGGCGCUUGAGAGAACUCGGGUGAAGGAACUAGGCAAAAUGGUGCCGUAACUUCGGGAGAAGGCACGCUGAUAUGUAGGUGAGGUCCCUCGCGGAUGGAGCUGAAAUCAGUCGAAGAUACCAGCUGGCUGCAACUGUUUAUUAAAAACACAGCACUGUGCAAACACGAAAGUGGACGUAUACGGUGUGACGCCUGCCCGGUGCCGGAAGGUUAAUUGAUGGGGU